rnacentral:rRNA from 1 species
AGAGUUUGAUCAUGGCUCAGGACGAACGCUGGCGGCGUGCCUUAUACAUGCAAGUCGAACGAGAAAGCUCCCUUCGGGGGGUGAGUAAAGUGGCGAACGGGUGAGUAAUACGUAGGUAAUCUACCCAUAGAUUGGGGAUAACGCGCCUAACGGUGCGCUAAUACCGAAUAACGCAUUAAGAUGUUGGUUUUAAUGCCAAAGGUGGUUCGCAAGAACUAUCGUCUUUGGAUGAGCUUACGGCCCAUUAGCUAGUUGGUAGGGUAACGGCCUACCAAGGCUACGAUGGGUAGCCGGCCUGAGAGGGUGUCCGGCCACACUGGGACUGAGAUACGGCCCAGACUCCUACGGGAGGCAGCAGUAAGGAAUAUUGCGCAAUGGUCGAAAGACUGACGCAGCAACGCCGCGUGGGUGAUGAAGUUCUAUGGAACGUAAAACCCUGUUAGGAGGGACGAAUAAUAUAAAGCUAACACUUUAUAGUUGACGGUACCUCCAAAGAAAGCCCCGGCUAACUCCGUGCCAGCAGCCGCGGUAAUACGGGGGGGGCGAGCGUUGUCCGGAAUCACUGGGCAUAAAGGGCGUGUAGGUGGAAUCGUAAGUUAGAGGUGAAAACUAGCAGCUUAACUGUUAGCCUGCUUCUAAGACUGCGGUUCUUGAGUGCGGAAGAGGGAAGUGGAAUUCUUGGUGUAGCGGUGAAAUGCGUAGAUAUCAAGAAGAACACCGGUAGCGAAGGCGGCUUCCUGGUCCGUAACUGACACUGAGGCGCGAAAGCGUGGGGAGCAAACAGGAUUAGAUACCCUGGUAGUCCACGCUGUAAACGUUGGGUACUAGGUGUUGGACUUUAUAGUUCAGUGCCGAAGUAAAUGCAUUAAGUACCCCGCCUGGGGAGUACGAUCGCAAGGUUGAAACUCAAAGGAAUUGACGG